rnacentral:rRNA from 1 species
AGUGAACGCUGGCGGCAGGCCUAAUACAUGCAAGUCGAACGGCAGCACAGCAGAGCUUGCUCUGUGGGUGGCGAGUGGCGGACGGGUGAGGAAUACAUGGGAAUCUGCCCAGUCGUGGGGGAUAACGUAGGGAAACUUACGCUAAUACCGCAUGCGCCCUUCGGGGGAAAGCCGGGGACCUUCGGGCCUGGCGCGAUUGGAUGAGCCCAUGUCGGAUUAGCUAGUUGGCGGGGUAAUGGCCCACCAAGGCGACGAUCCGUAGCUGGUCUGAGAGGAUGAGCAGCCACACUGGAACUGAGACACGGUCCAGACUCCUACGGGAGGCAGCAGUAGGGAAUAUUGGACAAUGGGCGCAAGCCUGAUCCAGCCAUGCCGCGUGAGUGAAGAAGGCCCUCGGGUUGUAAAGCUCUUUUGUCCGGAAAGAAAAGCAUCCAGUUAAUACCUGGGUGUCCUGACGGUACCGGAAGAAUAAGCACCGGCUAACUUCGUGCCAGCCGCCGCAGUAAUAC